GUAGGUUUCUCGUACUCUACUGCUCAAAUGGUUUGAUAGGAGAUCGCAUCUGCGGAGAGAAGCUGCUGUUGGCUAAAUCAGAAUGAAGCCAUUAUCAAUGGGCUUGCAUGAGCAGAGCCUCAAGUUCAACACAUUGUUUGCCAAGCGGUUCUUGAAGUUGUUGAGAAUAAUGUAUCCUAAAUGGACCAGUGUUACAGUAUUAUUGACCAUAACCCUGUUGCUGUU